GAUGAACGCUGGCGGCGCGCCUAACACAUGCAAGUCGAACGAUUAAAGCACCUUCGGGUGUGUAUAAAGUGGCGAACGGCUGAGUAACACGUGGGCAACCUGCCCCUCUCAUUGGGAUAGCCACGGGAAACCGUGGAUAAUACCGAAUACUUCGGGACUUCCGCAUGGAAGACUCGAGAAAGCUCCGGCGGAGAGGGAUGGGCCCGCGGCCUGUUAGCUUGUUGGUGGGGUAACGGCCUACCAAGGCAAUGAUGGGUAGCUGGGUUGAGAGACCGACCAGCCAGAUUGGGACUGAGACACGGCCCAGACUCCUACGGGAGGCAGCAGUGGGGAAUCUUGCACAAUGGGCGAAAGCCUGAUGCAGCGACGCCGCGUGCGGGAUGAAGGCCUUCGGGUUGUAAACCGCUUUCAGCAGGGACGAGGCGAAAGUGACGGUACCUGCAGAAGAAGCCCGG
rnacentral:rRNA from 2 species